rnacentral:rRNA from 1 species
UACAGAGGUCUCAAGCGUUGUUCGGAUUCAUUGGGCGUAAAGAGCUCGUAGGCGGCUCAUCGCGUCUGCCGUGAAAACCCGCAGCUCAACUGCGGGCUUGCGGUUGAUACGGGUGGGCUGGAGUUCGGUGAGGGGAGACUGGAAUUCCUGGUGUGAGCGGUGAAAUGCGCAGAUAUCAGGAGGAACACCGGUGGCGAAGGCGGGUCUCUGGGCCGAUGACUGACGUGGAGGAGCGAAAAGCGUGGGGAGCGAACAGG